rnacentral:rRNA from 1 species
GGUCAGGACGAACGCUGGCGGCGUGCUUAACACAUGCAAGUCGAACGAGGGUUAUUGGAGAGCUUGCUCGAAGGUAACCCGAGUGGCGGACGGGUGAGUAACGCGUGAGCAACCUGUCUCACACAGGGGGAUAACGCAUCGAAAGAUGUGCUAAUACCGCAUGAGACCACGGAAGGACAUCCUUCAGGGGUCAAAGGAGGAAUCCGGUGUGAGGUGGGCUCGCGUCUGAUUAGAUAGUUGGUGAGGUAACGGCUCACCAAGUCAACGAUCAGUAGCCGACCUGAGAGGGUGAUCGGCCACAUUGGGACUGAGACACGGCCCAGACUCCUACGGGAGGCAGCAGUGGGGAAUAUUGGGCAAUGGGCGCAAGCCCUGACCCAGCAACGCCGCGUGAGGGAAGAAGGUUUUCGGAUUGUAAACCUCUGUCCUGUAUGAAGAGAAGGAGACGGUAGUACAGGAGGAAGCCCCGGCUAACUACGUGCCAGCCGCAGC